rnacentral:rRNA from 1 species
AUUGAACGCUGGCGGCAGGCCUAACACAUGCAAGUCGAGCGGAUGAAGGGAGCUUGCUCCUGGAUUCAGCGGCGGACGGGUGAGUAAUGCCUAGGAAUCUGCCUGGUAGUGGGGGACAACGUUUCGAAAGGAACGCUAAUACCGCAUACGUCCUACGGGAGAAAGCAGGGGACCUUCGGGCCUUGCGCUAUCAGAUGAGCCUAGGUCGGAUUAGCUAGUUGGUGAGGUAAUGGCUCACCAAGGCGACGAUCCGUAACUGGUCUGAGAGGAUGAUCAGUCAGACUGGAACUGAGACACGGUCCAGACUCCUACGGGAGGCAGCAGUGGGGAAGAUUGGACAAUGGGCGAAAGCCUGAUCCAGCCAUGCCGCGUGUGUGAAGAAGGUCUUCGGAUUGUAAAGCACUUUAAGUUGGGAGGAAGGGUUGUAGAUUAAUACUCUGCAAUUUUGACGUUACCGACAGAAUAAGCACCGGCUAACUCUGUGCCAGCCGCCGCGGUAACAC